GGCACCUUGUGCUUCCACUGUCCCUGCUAGAUGCUGGGCAACACUCGCAGAAACCCAUCGGAUCAGAAAAUAGUCGCCUUGGAGGAACUGCACUGACAGCUGUUCUCAUAUUGACCCAUUUCUGCAAUGAAAUACUUGCUUAGGUCAUCAGUUGCUUGCCAUUAUGGUUGUAGAACAGAUUAUGUCGACUCCCUAUUUUAGGAGAUGCCAAAGAACGGUUCAAUUAAGUGCCUCCAAAGAAGAAUAGUGAUGUCCAUAUACUUCCUUCUACAUCAUCCAAAACACUUUGUCUCCAUGACUGCUGUUGCAUAUUUACUUGCCUUAGUACCUCAUUAAUUUUCAUAAUUUCACGAAAGAUAGCUUAAAAUUUAAGAUUGUUCAGUUUUAAAGAAUACGGACUGAGAAGUUACCUCUUCUUCUGAAACACCAAAGUGUUUUAAUUGCUUGAUCCAUUUCAUGCUAAAAAUUUGGUAAUGAUGAUUUUCAGUGAGCUAAAAUGAUGAGUUUCAGUGAGCUAAAAGUGAUCAUUAAUAUAUUUUGAAACAUUUUCAGAUCACACGAUGUAUCUUCUCGUGCGACCUUUGUACACUAAAAUGCACAUAGCUUUCAAUCCCUUUAAAAGUUAUUUUGGAAACGAUUGCGUAAGAUAUUCAUCCCGUUUUGGAUGCAUAUGGAAUUGUGCCAAAGGAGUUUAGCACUCUCAGUGCAAGAGUAUUUUUUGAUGUCUCGAUUCCUGUGCGUGAUGAUCCACUGUGAGUCACCAGGGAGUCCUUUGAAACUUCCUCAAGGUGCAGAGAGAUGACACCGCGACAAGUCGGAUCAAAAGCAGCAAGAAUAUUUCCUCCUGUUGAUUUCUAGCAAACAUUUUUCUUGCGCUGUGCAACAAAGCCCUGCACAGCCACACAGCGAGAAUAACUGUCGUGAGCCACCCAUGACCUGCGUUGCAGUGAAUGUGUUAAGCACCGUCAACUUUCAUGAAAAUUGACACAAAUUUGAUCUACACCAUUUUGUUGUCACAGAUUAUGAAAAAUACUCGUGAAGUGUUCCGAGUACUGCAAGCUGACACAAAAAUCAAGGUUGUAGCAUCAACAUGCUAACCAACUGUUGCACCUUUAUCUAUGUGGCAAGAAAAAAAAAAGGUCUUUACGAUGAAAUGGUUACUUUCUCCAAAGAAUGCUGCCCUCUUGCAUACACUGCAAGUGAAGUGGAAGAAACAGGGACAGACGGAGGGUAGUGCAACACAUGAGCAGGUCUCUGUUUUCUUGCACUUCACUUGCACUAUGUCGUACCAACAAGGCCGAAUUGCUAAUCUUGCAUAUGAUCUUGACAUUUAAGAAAAAAAAAAGGUCUUUACGAUGAGAUGGUUACUUUCUCCAAAGAAUGCUGCCUCUUGCAUGCACUGCAACUGAAGUGCAAGAAACAGGGACAGACGGAGGGUAGUGCAACACAUGAUCAGGUCUCUGUUUUCUUGCACUUCACUUGCACUAUGUCGUACCAACAAGGCCGAAUUGCUAAUCUUGCAUAUGAUCUUGACAUUUAAGAAAAAAAAAAGGUCUUUACGAUGAGAUGGUUACUUUCUCCAAAGAAUGCUGCCUCUUGCAUACACUGCAACUGAAGUGCAAGAAACAGGGACAGACGGAGGGUAGUGCAACACAUGAGCAGGUCUCUGUUUUCUUGCACUUCACUUGCACUAUGUCGUACCAACAAGGCCGAAUUGGUAAUCUUUCAUAUGAUCUUGACAUUUAAGAAAAAAAAAAAAGGUCUUUACGAUGAUAUGGUUACUUUCUCCAAAGAAUGCUGCCUCUUGCAUACACUGCAAGUGAAGUGCAAGAAACAGGGACAGACAGAGGGUAGUGCAACACAUGAGCAGGUCUCUGUUUUCUUGCACUUCACUUGCACUAUGUCGUACCAACAAGGCCGAAUUGCUAAUCUUGCAUAUGAUCUUGACAUUUAAGAAAAAAAAAAAGGUCUUUACGAUGAGAUGGUUACUUUCUCCAAAGAAUGCUGCCUCUUGCAUACACUGCAACUGAAGUGCAAGAAACAGGGACAGACGGAGGGUAGUGCAACACAUGAGCAGGUCUCUGUUUUCUUGCACUUCACUUGCACUAUGUCGUACCAACAAGGCCGAAUUGGUAAUCUUUCAUAUGAUCUUGACAUUUAAGAAAAAAAAAAAGGUCUUUACGAUGAUAUGGUUACUUUCUCCAAAGAAUGCUGCCUCUUGCAUACACUGCAAGUGAAGUGCAAGAAACAGGGACAGACGGAGGGUAGUGCAACACAUGAGCAGGUCUCUGUUUUCUUGCACUUCACUUGCAC